CCCUUAGUUAUCCUAGGUCGCACGCGCCAUACAAUGUGGCGCACAACGAGUCUCCUUGGCCGACAGGAUGUCCCGCGAGCGAUCGGCGACGCAGCCAGCUCGGUCUUCGGGCAGACUCGGUGAGAGUGGCCCGUCCUCCUGAGAGGGCGAUCGUCGAUGCCUCGGGAUUCUGGGCAAUCUGGCAGAGCGCUACGUGACUGGGCUAGACUUUUGUAAUUUUUGGUCUUGAACGAGGAAUGCCUAGUAAUCGCAGGUCAGCAUCCUGCGAUGAUUCGGUCCCGGCCCUUUGUACACACCGCCCGUCGCUCCAUCCGUGGCAUGCGCCGGUGAAGAGGGGGAGGCAGCGUCGGCCGUGUAACAGCGGAUCGUACGUGGAACCCCUCUGAACCUUCGCACGUAGAGGAAGGAGAAGUCGUAACA
rnacentral:rRNA from 1 species